UCAUAUUUAGUGAAUGCAAAGCCGCUAUUGCUGAUCAAUGAUUUCCAAAUGUAACAAAUGCAACCACCUGCAGCAUGCAAAUUAAGUAAUUAAAUAAACAAAUAAAAAUGAGAUUCUAAGGAUGCAAUUGAUGUGGCAUUAAAAUAACAAAAAUUUAAUAGUUGAAAAUUAAAUAAAAAAUUCUCAAAAUUAAUGGGCAUAUAUGGAUUGAACAUUAGACAAUGUGGAUAAAAGGAUUUAAAUGAUUCCAAAUACUAUGUAGUAACAUCCUCUCCUUCUUAAUCAAAUAUAUAAGUUUCAUUCAACCUAACAAAUUAAUGAAAUUUUUUCAAGGGGGUGAAAACACAAUGAGAUGCAAAAUGAAUUUUAUUACUUGACAUACAACUAUUUGUUGAAUUGCCAACAACAUAAACAUGAAAUCCAUGAAGUUUAAUGGCAAGUCUGAGAAGAAUUUGUGCAAUACGAAGCAAGCGAGAUUUAGUAAUCAUUAAUUUGUAACUUUCAGUUUGAAAGAACAUAGCAAAUGGAAGGAGUGGUGCAUUUGGGAUAUCCUGGUCAGUACAUGAGCUCGAUGAAAAUAAAUAAGAAUACAAUAAUAAAAAGUAUAACUUAGUGAAAAUCCCAACUUGAGGAACAUAUACCAAGUAAUAGACGUUUUUGUAUAUGUUUCUCCGCCUUUGUUUCUAGCUUAUUUUGCAUUUCUAUCUCUGCAGUCUGAAAGUUUAUAUUAAAAAACAAAGUUAAGCCUUUAUACGGUAUAUAAAAUGAGAAGAUGAACAUAUAGUGUAAUAGAUUUGCUGAGUUACUAUAACAAAGACUACAAAAAAUAAUGCAAACAAUGAAAACAUCAAGCAUCUAUACGUGAACAUUUUCUCCAGUAUCAGUUGGAUCGUGUCAGUGUUUGCAACAGAGUGAGCCCAUAUUUUCAAUUACUAAAGACAACAUAUGAAUGUAUAAUGCUCAAGCUACCCCUGGCAUUAUGAGGUCUUAACUAUACAUUAGUUCCCUUCUAGCUCCUACCUUCAAGCUUGCUUAAUUUCGAGCCAUGAACCAUUAGAAGGAAACAUAAUUUGAUCGAUUAAUUGAGUUACACCUACAGUCCUACCUUGAAAUAAGAACUUAAGCCAACUGCAAUCUAAGCCAAUUGAUUUAAAGAUAUAUUUAGUUAAUCUAUAGAACUUCUAUGCCCCAUAACACUUCAUAUUGCAUUCUAAUCAGAACAAAAUUGGCAGCGAUGCAAAGUUAGGAUUUAUAUUGACAUAACUGAAAUAAAUAAAGUAUAACAAAAAAAAUUCAGCAAAGGAUAUAGACUUGCAGAUUCACAAUUAUGUGGCAUUUAGAACAAACUCUACGUGGCAAUAUUUCAAACACUGACAGUGUACCAAGUCAGCCAAAGUACGUAAUAGUUAUAGCACUCAAUAUUUAUAAAAUGUUUCAUCAAAUUCAAGGAAAAGAAACUAUAAUCGCCAAGACUUGCGUCACAUGAUUCUGCUAUUUGUUCUCUAUAUACCAACUACACAAAUUGAGGUCCUGGAAAUUUUUUUAAACCCAAAUGUAAUGUUUUCAAAUUAUUUUAGCCAUGUAGUAGAUUGCUUUCCUAAGUGGUAGAAUGUUGGAAGGCAAGGAAUAGAUGUCAAAGAUGUAGCAAAUAUAUAUAUCAUUCAAGAUCAUAUAAUUGUUUCAUAUAUAGUAGUAUGUUUGAUAACCUAUAUUUACUUAUCAAAUGAAAAUUGAGUUGUGAUCAAAGUGUUCAUUGAUAUUUAACUGGCAACAUAAAUAAUAAUUUUUAUAAAUACAAAAAAGAAAUAAGAAAAGAGAGCCAGAGUCUCUGAUGCAAAAUACAUAAUACAAAUAUUUUAACAAUAACAUACCACAACACCUUAGAAUCCAACUAUUACAAUAGGAAAAAUCACAUCAAGGAUAUAACAAUUUUGAAAGAAAACUCUUAAAUCACAACUAUAAACACAUUCAGAACAUAUUAUGAUAUACAGAAAAGCAUUUUUUUUGGGGGGCUUGGGAGGGGGGAUCAUAAGCUACUAUAACAAUUAAAAAGCUAUAAAUUAGCAUUUUAAAACUUAACAACUGUAAUUACCAAAUUUUCCACGGCUCAAAGCUUACUCCUACUUUUACAUAGAGAUAACCCUUCAAAUAAAAAUCGGAAAGGACAGUGGAAAAGAAAAUGAAAUGUUAAAGCUAUAAGAGUUUUUAUCUACAGUCCAUUACACUAAAUUUGAGCAUUAUUUCUUAUACUUUUUAUAUGAUAGUAGUACAUAAUAAAAUUCUACUUGAGUUUAUUAAGAAAGACUUUUCCUUUCUUUCUUUUCAGUUUCUUUUCCUCACUUGAUCUUUAUAGCAUCCUUGAGUUUAUUAAGAAUACUUUUUCCUUUCUUUUUUUCAGUUUCUUUUCCUCAAUAUCUUUCCAGCAUCCAAACAAAAACUAAAAAUAUUAUAAAGAAAGCAUAAAACUACCUGACCAAAACAACCUAAUUCUAAGCUAAAAUUAAAUAAAAUUUCGUCAAAUAACUUUUUUAAUCGAUUCAAACACCCAUAAAAGAAAUAGUUUGUUUCCCAUUAGAGAGGCUUCGGUGAGGUAUAAAACUAUCUGACCAAAACCAACUAAUUCUAAGCUAAAAUUAAAUAAAUUUCGUCAAAUGGCUUUUUUAAUCGAUUCAAACACCCAUCAAAGAAAUAGUUUGUUACCCAUUAGAGAGGCUUCAAUGAGGUUUUUGGUCGAAAGAACCUGGUUCGUUAGAUUGACAUUAUUCACCAUCUUCAAUCAACUGCUUCUGGAUCUUCAUCUCAUACUAUUGCAUCAGAUUUCAGAACACACAUCAUAUCAUCUAAAAUAAACUACAACAACUAUAUGCACAAUCUAACUUCAAAUUAACACAAUAGGAGUUACCACUCCAAAUAAACCAACUGCUGAUAGAACACAUUUAUUAACCAACAUUGAUGAGUUUUUUUUCAAACCAACUAAAAAAUCUACAAAAACCAAUCCAAGUAAAAAAGGAAAAAUACCCAGGUAAAAAAUCCAAUACUUAAUCAUCCAUAAAAAAAAAAAAAAAUUAAAAAAGGAGGAAAAUAAUUUUCACAUAUAAGCUGAAUUAAACAUCAAUAAAGUUAAUCAAGAAGCUAAACAAUUUUAAAUGAGUUAACCUUUGGAACUCAAAGAUUGUGAUGGUCCUUUUUUGUGAUCGUCAAAUUGAAUUGCUCCUCACUACCCUUCUGAUACUAAGUUCAACAAAAGUUAUGCAUGUAAGCAUGAAAGGGCAGCAAGGGCCAUGAAGUAUAAGAGACCCAUGUGUACAGAUCGGUUCGCAAAAUUUGAGAAAUUAAGAUUUGGAAUUACCUUAAGCGCAACAGGAAGGAAGUUAUUCAAAGCAGCGACUAUCAGUUGCAGUAGCCAUAGGGUAAUUUCAGUGGCAAUGAAAAUUUCGGCGAUGAUGGGUAUUUACAGAAACGUGCAGAGAGUGGAUCGAUGGAGAGAUAGACCAAAGACCUCAAGUAACAUGCAUUACCUCAUAUGUCAGUCUCUCAUCCAAUCGCCCUAACUUAAAUCGCUCCAAAUCCUAUAUAAAACAAACUUUGUAUUUAAACCUCAAGAUAUAUAUAUAUAUAUAUAUAUAUAUAUAUAUAUAUAUAUAUAUAUAUAUAUAUAUAUAUAUAGAGAGAGAGAGAGAGAGAGAGAGAGAGAGAGANNNNNNNNNNNNNNNNNNNNNNNNNNNNNNNNNNNNNNNNNNNNNNNNNNNNNNNNNNNNNNNNNNNNNNNNNNNNNNNNNNNNNNNNNNNNNNNNNNNNAUAACACAAACUUUGUAUUUAAACCACAAUAUAUAUAGAUAAACAGAUAACAACAACCUAACAUCUAAGACUGAAGAGAAAAAAAGAAACAAUGCAAGCAAGUUGAGUGAAGGAUUACCUCGUCGCCAGAGUUUCAAACAGGAUGUUCAGAAACAGCGCACCACUCUUUGCGGGAAAAUUGUAAAGAAGGCAUCAGAAGAGAAACGCAACGUGAGGACGCGACGUUGGCUGCGUCCUCCAUUAAAUAAGAAUUUCAGACUGUACGCCAAUUUGAUCUCUCGAACAAAA
rnacentral:lncRNA from 1 species